CAGAGGAGCAUAGACACUUAGAUAUUGUCGAAAACUGAGGAUGCAGCAUCUAUGAUUUCCAGUUCUAUGUUGAAGGCGAAACAUCUCAAUAAACCCAGUUGUCCUUUCCAAAAGAGUGUUAGAUUUUGAGUCAUCAGACUUUACUGGACAAGUGAUCUUAAGCCCAUGCAGUGACUCCAACUACAGAGUCGUGAUGCUCCUGCUACAGCGGGGUGCCGCAGCUCAAGGAAGAACAUUUAUGAUCAUUUCUUUAUCAUUUCCUUGAAGUAAUAAUCACCAUAUUAAUCAUUUUACAGACACAGUAGUUCUUCUGUCUCAGCGUCUCGGUCUGAUUGUAUUUACAUGAAGAAAUGAUCAUAAAUGUUCUUCCUUGAGCUGCGUCACCCCGCUGUAGUCCGUAAUGGACUGGCCUGAGGUCUCUCUACAAACAAGCGUCUGCUGGAAGAGAGUAGGUGAGUUGUGUUUAGUCUCUUUGCUAAAGAAAUGAGUCAAAGUUAUAAAGAUGUUUGGUGUCUAGUACUAUGUCUGUGACCCUAUAUGUACUAACCUCAGUAGGACAUGGUGUAGUUCCGUUCAGUAACUGAACCUCAUUGGAAAAUUAGCUGAUUUAACUUUACUGUGCUCUUGUUCAAAUAUAUUAACUCAACAGCACAUAAAUCCAUACCUGUUAACAAAAUCAUGAUUUUAUUGAUAAUUCGGCUCAAUAAAAACACCUUUACCUUUUCAUUUUACUACAGUAGAAGUUUAUUGGCCCAGCUUAUAGACGACAGAAGUGGAGAAUAUUGACGGAAUAUCCCUUUAAGCCAAUGCGGUGACCUCAACUCCAGAGUCCUGUUGCUCCUAAAGUAGAUCUUGUUCAGCAUUAAUGGAGCCUUCACAGAUGUUGAAGAGUGAGAACAAGUCUGGUGACCCUCUACUCGUCACAGAGGAGGAGAUUCUGAUAGUUCGGACCUCAGGAUGGAGAAGGAUGAGGCGUUCAAAGACAAAGCUUUGUAUGUUUUUGACAAAUGUACGAUCAAACCAGAUCUCGAUUUUUGAUUUGAAGUUUCCGAAUUUUGAUUUUCUUACAGAACGAAACAGUCGAGGAAUGAACUCAGACCCCUGUAAAGGUGGACCGGAUCAGUGUGGUCCAGACCUGAAGAGGAGAACCUGAGGAUCAGGUCUCACAGGUAUUUUACUCUCUCUGUGUCUGAGUUUGUGAUCAGGUCGAAACUCUCCAGUUUGAUCCUGAAGGUGAAACAAUGAGGCUGAACCCCAAAAAACAACCGUGUUUACCUCCUUUUAAACAGACAGAAAUAAAAAAGAUCAAAUAUUUCUGCAGCUUUUGACUCUUUAACCGACUUUUCCCAUAACAGAGACAUUUACAACUUCUGCUGCUUUUACCUCUAUGACAAAUAGAUAUUAUUAAUACUAAUAAUGAUGAUAAUAAUCUGAGUUUUAAACGUAUUUCUGUGUUCUUCAAGGUCCUUUCAUUGCAAAAUAAAUCCAUCAGUCAAUUAAGUUUAAAUGCUGUUAAAAAGAUUUGAUUGACAGCUCCGUUGACCACUGAGGCUCCUGGAAAAGCAGGAUUCACUUUAGAGUUAAAGAAAUAUUCUUGUUAAAUAAACGGAUAAAAAGUCUGAAGCUGCAGAGAAACGAAGACGGAAACUCUCCGAUAACAAACGUCACCGAAGACUGUUAGUUCAGCUCCGUGUGAGACAACACGUGCUUCUGUUUCUAUUAUUUCUACUGCAGAGACCACCCGCCCUCUCUCACACACACACACACACUCACACACACACACACUCACACACACACACACACACACACACAGAGUUAAUCCGGGCUCAGUGUCACUGAUGUCGACUCUGUUAUGUUGACUUAAUGACCCGAGAGCCGAAAUAAUGAGGAGCAAAAACAGGAGGGGAGGAGGAGGAGGAGGGAGGUUUUCACAUGGAGGUGAUGAAGAAGAGGAAACAGAGGAAGUGAAGAAGAAGAAGAAGAAGAAGAAAGAUAGAAGAUAAAAACGAGUGAAAACAGAGAGGAAGAGGAGAAAAGAAAAGAAACCAGAUGAAGGAUGAAGAGUGUUGACCUGCUGUGACCUUUGAUGGUUUAUUUCUGUUCUUAACAAACUUCAGUGUUUAAUACCCUGAAUGUCCACUAGGGGCUGAGUCCUGUAGUGAGUCAGUCUCUAUAGAGAUCCAUGUUAAAGACAUGGAUCGUCUCCUAAAAGGUCGUAUCCUCCGAUCGUAGCUGAUCGUAACCAUUCAAGUUAACGUGUCAAUUUACACCGACUUCUUUCCGUCGGACGCCGGAGCAUGGCGGAUAAAUUCAGCACAGAUGAACCCGUGCUGGAAAGGAAGUCGGGCUUAGACUUCGUUCACUUCUGAGUGUUUGAACCUCAGGUCAAAGGUCACCCACACUCUCAUCUGUCCACGUCAGACUGUUGGUUUACGGAGGAGAACCAGGAGCAGGUUCCUCCUCCUGCUGGGUUCCUGGAGGAGGUCUGAAGGUCUACGUUAUGUUUCCACCUGCUCAGCUCAGCUAAGGAGGACCUGGACCUGAGACUGAGGACCACCUCCAGAGUCCGCUCACACUCUCUGGAUCUCCACGUGCAGACGGACUCAGAACAUCAGCCCGGCUCCUCCUCCUCCUCCUCGUGACAGUCAGCACCCUGCUGCUCCUCGACGUGGGGGUUCGUUUGUUGUGUUUCUGAGAGGAAGCCUUCAGGAACACUCUGACGUUCCUCCUCCUCCUCCUCCUCCUCCUCCUCCUCCUCCUCCUCCUCAGAAAGUCUUCAGUUGUCCGUUAAAGCUUCAGUGUUGGAGGUUCAUUAACUGUGAUCGUCAUAAUCCUCUUAUGUAACACAGAUGGAACAAAAAAGGGUCCCGGGGUUAAAGAAACUCCGAUUAAGAGUCCAGAGGCUCAGCGCUGCUGCCCCCGCAGGCUGACAUGGUUACUGCAGGCAGAGAAAAGACAAAGAAGAGUUUGUUCCUCCUCAGGAUAAUAUUGACCUCCUCUUGGUUUGUUUUCUCCUCGCAGAACAAACCUGUCCCAGUGAAACCAGCUCAGGGGGGGUUUAUCGCUCUUCCUCUUCAUUAGCAGGACAAACAUUCAUCUAGAUCUCAGCGAGGACAAACAUUCAUCUAGAUCUCAGCGAGGACAAACAUUCAUCUAGAUCUCAGCGAGGACAAACAUUCAUCUAGAUCUCAGCGAGGACAAACAUUCAUCUAGAUCUCAGCGAGGACAAACAUUCAUCUAGAUCUCAGCGAGGACAAACAUUCAUCUAGAUCUCAGCGAAGACAAACAUUCAUCUAGAUCUCAGCGAGGACAAACAUCAGAUAGAAUCUACAGUCAACACUCAUUAAACUCCAGAGACGGUCCGGUCCAUUAGAGACGCAGCUGACCGUCAGAACUUCCAACCCUUCUCCUGAUCAACCCGACAGUUCGGCUCAUUUCAAACUCUGGAGAUCACCUCAAAAACCAACAAACAGCAUCUUCUAACUGAACCAUGAGAGAGGAGACCAGGUAGAACCAGAACCACCAGAGACUUCUCUGGACCUGAGCCGGUUUAAGGUGGACUGAGGGGACCAGGAGAACUGUCCUGAGGUCUGAUGGAUCAGGAUCUGACCUUCUGUUAAAAGUCUUUAGACACUUUUAUUGACUCAGUAUAUGAACAGAAUCUCUCAUGAUGUUCUUGAUGUUAAUCUUCGUUUAUCUGCAGAUGAUCCUGUUAUUUAUCGCUCUGCUCUCACACAGAGUCAGGCCCUUUAUCUGCUGCAGGAAAACUUAAAUACUGUUCAAGAGAAUCUGAGGGACCUGAAGUCAGUUUGGAGUUCUGAGAUGAUGAUCAGAGUCACAGAUUCCAGCUCAGGCUGAUCUGAUCGAGUCUGAACCUUCUUAUCAAUAUCUUUGGUUUGUGAUCGAUGACUCUCUGUCAUAUUGAUCAGGUUGUAAAGAAGUUUAGAUUAUAGCUGUGCUUUGACUUCAUACAUAAGUUGUUUUUCUUGUUGCUUCUUUCAUGUCUCUGAUAGAUUAUGUUGAUGUUUCAUACAUGCAUGUUUCUGCUCGAAGACUUCAAUCUUUGGAAACUGUUGAUCAUCUACGGUUCAUAACAAACCUCCAGGCCUUAACUCACUCUGUGUCAUGUUGGAUGGCCCUCUUUAACCAUGGGUAGACUGAACCAUUGGAACAUCCUGAUUUAUACGUCUACACUCCGCCUGUUUCCACCAAACCUGUAUAAUAAUACUCAUGUUCAAAGUUCUGAAGCUCUAGACUUCGAUCUGUGACUCAGACACAGAAUCUACUUUUGUUUUCUGUCCCUAAAGUUCGUCUUGAAACGAACAAAAGAAGUUUUCGAUCUGCUGCUCCAAGAAGAACUGAGUCUGUUUGUGACUCUUUAAGUCUCUGUAGAUGCAGAUUGAAGGUCCUCGAGGAGGAUGAAGAAGACUGUAAGAACUUAGACUGAAGAUGUUCUGCUCUCAGCUGAUUGUUCUGUCUGUUUUUGUCUGUACUUGUUUAUGUCUGUAACUCUGUAAAUGUCCUGCUGUCUGUCUGAACGAGGACACUCUUCAUCUCAAUGAGGUUUUUUUCCUGGUUAAAUAAAGUUUCAUUCAAACUUAUUUUAGACGUUUCAUCAGGUCCGCUUCCAUCCGGUCUCCCGGUCCACUGAGGUCUACAGAGACAGUUUUAUGUUUUUGUCUCCAGACUCUCAGAACUUCUAACUUCUGAUCUCAGGUGUGUUCGGUUCCGGUGUUGUCCUUUCCUCUGGGUGUGGAUCUCAGAGGUGUUUAACAGCUGAGCCAACAUUUCUUCUUCUUCUUCUUCGUGAUACACGUCUCGUUUCCUCUCAGGUGUUGAUUUUCUCAUGCUCCGGAGCUCUCGGGGGAAAUUCAGGUAAAAGGAGGAAGAAAAGGAAGAAGAGAGAGAGAGAGAGAGAGAGAGAGAGAGAGAGAGAGAGAGAGAGAGAGAGAGAGAGAGAGAGAGAGAGAGAGAGAGAGAGAGAGAGAGAGAGAGAGAGAGAGAGAGAGAGAGAGAGAGAGAGAGAGAGAGAGAGAGAGAGAGAGAGAGAGAGAGAGACAGAGAGAGAGAGAGAGAGAGAGAGACAGAGAGACAGAGAGAGAGAGAGAGAGAGAGAGAGAGAGAGAAGACACCGGAGAGAAAAGAAGAGAGAAAUCCAAAACCUGUCCUGGUUAGAGCCGUCAGAGAGGCGCCGAAGAAAACUCAAGACUACAUGUGAGAGGAUGAUGAUGAUGAUGAUGAUGGUGAGUGUGCGGUCUCAUAUCAGGAUGUUCUGGUACCACAGCAGCUGUUUGAUUGGUUCCCAUCCUGCUGUGACCUCAGAUGACCAUCAGCUGUUGGGUCUGAAUGUGUGGUUCUGACCUGAUGGUUCUGAUCCGAUGGGUCACAGAAUAAACCGUGUUAGUCUAAAGUAUUACAGCCCACAGACACCCAACAGUCUGACCUGUCUGUCCCGGGUCUCUGCAGGCCCAGAUAACAUGGUCCUCCUGUGGCGGACCACACAAAGAGCGGAUUGUUCUGGGAGGACCCGACACUCAGAGAUCAGGUGUCUGCAGCUCUGAGAGAAAGAGAAGAAGAUAUUUGGAGCAUUUACACUAAUCCAGGUGGAAGAUGAUACCGGUGUUCAGAGGUCUCACUCGGAGGAAAAUACCUGGACCAGUUUUCAGACUCUGUCGGGGGGGAGGGGGGUCACUGUCCCUACAGGCAGGUACUGGUCUCAGUUCUCAGGUCAGCAUCAAGCUGCUCCUUAUUGUAGAGAGUCAGCUGCUGCCUUCACUGACCCUGUGUGAGUGGUGCGUUUAAGGACACGCCGAGAACCAGGGUUAGUGAUGUGGCUGUUGGAGAGUGAUGCAUUCAUGAGCAGGAGACAGGAAGUCAAACUGAGGUGGUUUAAUAUCAUAUCAUAUCAUAUCGUAUUGUAACGAAUCGGAUCAUAUCAAAUAUCUAAUUGUAUUGUAUCGUAUCAUUUCGUAUUGUAUGGUAUCUUAUCAUAUAUCAUAUCAUAUCGUAUUGUAUCGGAUCAUAUAUCAUGUAUCGUAUCUCAUCGUAUCACAUCAAAUAUCUAAUUGUAUCAUAUCGUAUUGUAUGGUAUUCAAUCAUAUAUAAUGUAUCAUAUUGUAUCUUAUCAUAUAUCAUAUCGUAUUGUAUCGUAUCGGAUCAUGUAUCAUGUAUUGUAACAUAUCAUAUCAUAUGGUACCUUAUCAUAAAUCGUAUUGUAUCAUAUCAUAUUGUAUCGUAUCGUAUCGGAUCAUGUCAUAUAUCGUAUUGAAUCAUAGUGUAUUUUAUCAUACAGGAUUGUAUCGUAUCGGAUCAUAUAUAUUGUAUUGUAUCAUAAAUCAUAUCGUAUCAUAUAGUGUAUUGUAUCGUAUCUUACCGAACCGCAUUAUAUAUUCUAUAUCGUAUCAUAUCGUAUUAUAUUAUACAUCAUGUAUCGUUUUGUAUCGUAUUGUAUAAUAUAUUGUAUCAUCUUGUAUCGUAACAUAUAUAAUAUCUCUUAUUGUAUUGUCUCAUAUCCUAUAUCAUAUCAUACCAUAUGAUAUUUUAUUGUCCGUUUUCUUAUUCUCUCUGUUUCUUUAGUCACUCAUCUUGUUUUUUGUACCCUCUUACACGAGGAUUUUAACGUAUCUUUAGCUUUUUCUUCCAAACACUUGAACUCAGUUUCUAAAGCAGCUGUAAAAAUCCUCAAAACUCUAAACAGAAAACUUAGAUAUGUUACUUUAUCUGUACUUUACGUCGAUUAAAAAACUCGAACUAUUCAAAGACGUUUUGACUCUGAGACUACGUUUCAUUUUUAGAGUCUGAGGUCAAAUUCCCGUCGUUUCUGUCGCUCAGUUUCCUGUCAGAUAUUCUCGGACUUCACCUUUUCCCUGGUCUGACCGUUGGUGGUCGUCACUGCGGUUAAAAACGUUCCUAGACUACAGUCGGUGUUUUUAAGUGUCAGUUUGGGUGAGCAGCUCUGUGGGAGAUCAGCGUCCCGGCACACAGAUCACAUUCCUGCUCAUCACGCCGGACGCCCAUCAGAUAAAGGGUUUCCAAAGAAACCAAACAUCUGCUCCGGAUCUCCAUUAGAGAGCUGAGAGGCGGUUAUAUAAAGGUAAUAAGGAGACAUCAGUCCACCACGAAGAAAAAAACACUCUCAUCAGAUCACUUCAAUCAAACCUAACAGCUCAGUCUGACCUUUGACCCUCUGUGCUGCAGCCAGGGUCAAACCCACAAACAGUUAUAUAACCCCGACUCCUUCAGUGAGCGCCGAUGAUACCGAGGGAGGGGGGUUAUAAAAAAACAGAUAUCACCAUGACGGCAAAUAACGUUAGAUUAAAUAUAUAUUUAGGGUUCAUUAGAACAAGGUUUACAGUCCUCAUUAGUGGACCCACCAGACCGGGUUCUGGAGUUUCACUGAGGAUCUCAGCACAGAGGCUCCGAUCCGUCCCCCAAUUCC